AAUGGCCUGCGGUGUGCGUGAAUCAAACUUUUGCUGCCUAACAUAUCAGCGCGGGGGUCAGUCCCUGAAGGGGGUGUGCCCGCCUUCCAAAAUGAGGAAGGACGCCUAAACCCUUCACACCUCACCCCACCUUUGAGGAUCAGGUACAAAAGCCCUAUUUGACACGGCACCGCGGACCCUUC
rnacentral:other from 1 species